AUCAACUUUCGAUGGUAGGAUAGAGGCCUACCAUGGUGGUAACGGGUAACGGGGUGUUAGGGCACGACACCGGAGAGGGAGCCUGAGAAACGGCUACCACAUCCAAGGAUGGCAGCAGGCGCGCAAAUUACCCAAUCCCGACACGGGGAGGUAGUGACAAUAAAUAACAAUACGGGGUCCUUUCGGGUUUCGUAAUUGGAAUGAGUACAAUUUAAAUCUCUUAACGAGGAACAAUUGGAGGGCAAGUCUGGUGCCAGCAGCCGCGGUAAUUCCAGCUCCAAUAGCGUAUAUUAAAGUUGUUGCAGUUAAAAAGCUCGUAGUUGAAUUUCGGGACUAGUACGCUAGUCGUGCCUUCGGUAUGUACUGGUGUUACUGGUUCCUACCUUCUGACGAACUGUCAUGUCAUUAAUUUGGUGUGGCGGGAAAUCAGGACUGUUACUUUGAAAAAAUUAGAGUGUUUAAAGCAGGCUCGCGCUUGAAUACAUUAGCAUGGAAUAAUGAAAUAGGACGUUCGAUCCUAUUUUGUUGGUUUCUAGGAUUGACGUAAUGAUUAAUAGGGAUAGUUGGGGGCAUUAGUAUUCAAUUGUCAGAGGUGAAAUUCUUGGAUUUAUUGAAGACUAACUACUGCGAAAGCAUUUGCCAAGGAUGUUUUCAUUAAUCAAGAACGAAAGUUAGGGGAUCGAAGACGAUCAGAUACCGUCGUAGUCUUAACCAUAAACUAUGCCGACUAGGGAUCGGAUGAUGUUAUUUUUAAUGACUCAUUCGGCGCCUUACGGGAAACCAAAGUGUUUGGGUUC
rnacentral:rRNA from 1 species